GACGAACGCUGGCGGCGUGCUUAACACAUGCAAGUCGAACGGAAAGGCCCUGCUUUUGUGGGGUGCUCGAGUGGCGAACGGGUGAGUAACACGUGAGUAACCUGCCCUUGACUUUGGGAUAACUUCAGGAAACUGGGGCUAAUACCGGAUAGGAGCUCCUGCUGCAUGGUGGGGGUUGGAAAGUUUCGGCGGUUGGGGAUGGACUGGCGGCUUAUCAGCUUGUUGGUGGGGGAGUGGCUUACCAAGGCUUUGACGGGUAGCCGGCCUGAGAGGGUGACCGGCCACAUUGGGACUGAGAUACGGCCCAGACGCCUACGGGAGGCAGCAGUGGGGAAUAUUGCACAAUGGGCGGAAGCGUGAUGCAGCAACGCCGCGUGCGGGAUGACGGCCUUCGGGUUGUAAACCGCUUUCGCCUGUGACGAAGCGUGAGUGACGGUAAUGGGUAAAGAAGCACCGGCUAACUACGUG
rnacentral:rRNA from 1 species